CCAACCCCAGGUCAGGCGGGCC
rnacentral:rRNA from 1 species